UACGUAGGGCGCAAGCGUUGUCCGGAAUUAUUGGGCGUAAAGAGCUCGUAGGCGGCCUGUUACGUCUGCUGUGAAAUCCCGGGGCUUAACCCCGGGCCUGCAGUGGGUACGGGCAGACUAGAGUGCGGUAGGGGAGACUGGAAUUCCUGGUGUAGCGGUGAAAUGCGCAGAUAUCAGGAGGAACACCGGUGGCGAAGGCGGGUCUCUGGGCCGUAACUGACGCUGAGGAGCGAAAGCGUGGGGAGCGAACAGG
rnacentral:rRNA from 1 species